rnacentral:rRNA from 1 species
CCGCACGCGCGCUACAAUGCUAGGUUCAACGAGUCUGCGACUUGGCCGAGAGGCCUGGUUAAUCUUGUGAAAUCCUAGCGUGCUUGGGCUUGCCUCUUGCAACUAGAGGCACCAACGAGGAAUUCCUAGUAGACGCAGGUCAUCAACCUGCAUCGAUUACGU